ensembl:rRNA 5S_rRNA 5S ribosomal RNA
GUCUACGGUCAGACCACCCUGAAUGCGCCCAAUCUUGUCUGAUCUUGGAAGCUAAGCAGGGUUGGGCCUGAUUAGUACUUUGAUGGGAGAAAUAUAAAUUCUUGGUCAAUGUAAAUU